rnacentral:rRNA from 1 species
GACGUAGGUACCGAGCGUUAUCCGGAUUUACUGGGCGUAAAGCGCGUUCAGGCGGUUUGGCAAGUCGGGCAUGAAAUCUCUCGGCUCAACCGGGAGAGGUUGUCCGAUACUGCUGGACUUGAGGGCAGUAGAGGGUGGUGGAAUUCCGGGUGUAGUGGUGAAAUGCGUAGAUAUCGGAAGGAACAUCAGUGGCGAAAGCGACUUCCUGGACCAGUACCGACGUUCAGGCACGAAAGCGUGGGGAGCAAACAGG